AUUGAACGCUGGCGGCAUGCCUUACACAUGCAAGUCGAACGGCAGCACGGGAGCAAUCCUGGUGGCGAGUGGCGAACGGGUGAGUAAAGUAUCGGAACGUGCCCAGUCGUGGGGGAUAACGUAGCGAAAGUUACGCUAAUACCGCAUACGAUCUAUGGAUGAAAGCGGGGGAUCGCAAGACCUCGCGCGAUUGGAGCGGCCGAUAUCAGAUUAGGUAGUUGGUGGGGUAAAGGCUCACCAAGACGACGAUCUGGAGCUGGUCUGAGAGGACGACCAGCCACACUGGGACUGAGACACGGCCCAGACUCCUACGGGAGGCAGCAGUGGGGAAUUUUGGACAAUGGGCGAAAGCCUGAUCCAGCCACGCCGCGUGCAGGAUGAAGGCCUUCGGGUUGUAAACUGCUUUUGUACGGAACGAAAAGGUUUGGGCUAAUAAGCUGAGCUCAUGACGGUACCGUAAGAAUAAGCACCGGCUAACUACGUGCCAGCAGCCGCGGUAA
rnacentral:rRNA from 1 species